UACAGAGGUGGCAAGCGUUGUUCGGAAUUACUGGGCGUAAAGGGCGCGUAGGCGGCCUUCUAAGUCAGACGUGAAAUCCCCCGGCUUAACCUGGGAACUGCGUCUGAUACUGGAGGGCUUGAGUGCGGCAGAGGAAAGUGGAAUUCCCGGUGUAGUGGUGAUAUGCGUAGAUAUCAGGAGGAACACCGGUGGCGAAGGCGGGUCUCUGGGCCGAUACUGACGCUGAGGAGCGAAAGCGUGGGGAGCGAACAGG
rnacentral:rRNA from 1 species